UUGAUAAUAUAUUUUAUCUUUUCUUAGUUCAUCUGUAAGUUAAGCCACUUUUUAAGUUGGUUUUAACCAGAUGCUAGCUCACUAGCUGGCUGCUAAGCAAGCCAUUGUGCUAGCCUCAGGACAAUGGACUAUUGUUCCAGAGAGACGUAUUAAAAACUCAUCUUAACAUAUUCAUUACUGGUUUCAUGGAAUUAAUUAUUGCAGUUUAUGUUAAUAAGUUUGCUAAUUUUUCAGGAACCUGUGGAACAUCAGAGACUUUGCAGCUACUGGAGCUAACCUGUGUACUGCUAACUUGCUACAGAGGAAGCAGCAGAAAGCUGAGCUAACAGGCUGUUUUGCAGGUAAAUACUCUUUUAGUGGAACUGCAGGAUUUUUAUGGUAUAACUCAGACAGAAUCUACAUGAGCUAUUGUGGGAAGACAUUUAAACUACAUUUACAUACAGAUACAUGUAUUUUUUUAUUCCAUGUUACUUGGACGGGCUAAACAAGUUCAUAGUUCUGCCUGCUCCUUUUUCAGUGAAACGAAUGGAUUUUUUGAUGUAACUCUAGUAAAUCUAUAGUAACCAUAGUCUGGUGACUAGUGUCUAUUUUAGCUACAUUUAGCUUAGCUGGAGUAAUGUAGUCUAACUCUGCCUCAACUGGUGACUUUUUUACUUCAUUGUCAGCCAGACAAAAUGUUGCUACAGAGAAACGCCCAAGGUACUGACCCCACAAUAGAAAAUCAUAAUGUCCACAUUUAUUUCCCACAAUCUCAAACGUCACACUAAAAUUAAACUUUUAGCUCUGAUUUAAUUAUUUCCUUAUUGAUAUCAGUUUUCCCUUUGUUGUAGGUAAUCCUCAGGUGUCAGCAGGAGGAGGUGACUACCUGCACAACGGAGCACCCUGGUUCUGAGCCAGUUGCACCUUUGUGCAGCUCUUUGGGGAGACGAUGCUCAGCAGACACAUGCCUCCAUGUGGUCAGGUGGUGUUGGUGUGAUCUGGGAGGGCACACUCAUGUCGUCAUCUCCUUGUGCCGUCUCCAGGAUCCUGAUGGGAGUUCUCUGUGCCUAUAAAGCAGGAGUAUUUACUUCUGGGCCUGGAGGGCCGGUAUCCAGCACGUUUUAGUUUUAACUCUGUUUCAAUACACCUGAUUUCAGUCAGCAGAUAAUUAACAGGCUUCUGCAGAGCUGCUGCACAGGUAAUUCAACCACUGAUUCAAGUGUGUUGGAGCAGGGAAACAACUAAAACGUGCUGGAUACCAGCCAUCCAGGACUAGAAUUGAAUACCCCUGCUAUAAAGCCUUCCUCCCUCCUCCGGACUUUAAACAUUAGUGUUUUAUUACAGUUUACCUGAUUUAGUAAAUAAAUCUCAAUUUAUAAAUUUCCUGUUUUGGUGCCUGUCCGUAAAAUCCUGCAUUAGACACUGAAAGCUGAAUGGAUGCCUUUCAUUCACUUUGACAUUCAAUGUAUUUUUAAAGAUACACUUGAAAUUAAUAUCAGCUGUUUAACAGAGUGGUGCAAAGUAAUUGCUGAUGUCAUGAUUUUUGCAACAACCUGACCUUCAUGCAGAGAAACUCAGGAGACAAAUGAGCUAAAAACAGUUUAUUAAAAUGUUUGACGGAUGACUGAAGAGGUAACAGCUGGAGAUCAGGAACCAGAAGCUUCUGCGAGGAAGAGCAGAGGUUAGUAAGAGGCAACAGGUCAGGGUUUUCUUAGACUGUGCAGGUAGCUUACAGAGUCUGAGAAACGCCACAGAGAUGGAGCCACAGGUUUUAGUGUUUAAAGAUCAGAAGGCCCUGAGGUAAAAUUGAGUGUUAGUAAUGACUAAAGAAUGACUUACAAAAGGAAAAGUUUAGGUACUUACGGUCUGAAAUUGUAGCGCAGACGGGAGACAGCAGAAUGGUGGAGAAACAACCAGAAGUCUGGGAGAAUGACAGCAUGAGUAGCAAGCGGGUGAGCAGAAGGUAGUGGGUAAGCCGACUGCCAGUAUGGUUGUGUGAUCAGGAGCUUCAAGGAAAGAAUUCCCAUAGAUCUGCAUAGAACAUGAGAACGUAAGUUUGAAAAACGGCAGAGUCAUGGGCUAGAUAUGGGUUAAAACACUGAUGAGUGACCAGCUACCAGCUUUUAUUCAAGGAUGGGGUUACAGGUGUGUGAGGAUGUGCCUGCCCCAUGAGAAGAGUUUUCAGGUAAGCCUCUCCAUGGUGCUCUGCAAUGGUGACUAGCAAGGCUAAUGAAGAGAUUAAAGGGAACACAAACCCAGGACUCCGACCCAAACUUCUAACAGCAACACAACGACUCCUCCCACAGGCGGUUGUUCCACUGAGCACGCAGCUGCCCGAAGUUCAGCAUCAGGCAACCUGUAGGCGAUGUAAUCAUACGUGGCUUCUGAGCAUGCAAGUUUAUUCUAGCUGUACAGCGUACAAUAAUAAUAAAGAUUUAUAUUGUG